ensembl:lncRNA
CCAGACAGCAUUUUCUAUCUCCCAGCUGGAGUUUUUGUUUGUCUGUGACUGGAGAGUCAGAUUUUUGUUGAGCUUCACACUUGCAGACCUAAGUCAGUUUGCAGAGAUCCCUCCCACUCUGGCUUUUAUGUCCUAGAUUUCUUAUCUGAAACAGUAAUAUUUCAGUGACUGCUGCUUGUACCACAGGUUAAUACACGCUACUGAUCCCUGAUAGGAGAAUCAUCAAUUUUGGCAACAAAGAAGCCUGGUGGAUGUUUGUUUACAGUCUGAUGAUGGGACAUCAUGCUCUGCAUCGUCAAAGUUUGCCUCCUCAUUAUUAUUCAUACCCAGUAAUGUGAAGUAUGCUUAUAUCUACUAUAACUGAACCAACCUGGUGCUCUUCAUUUAUGGAGGCUGUUGAGUCUGAAUGUUGGAUGUUGUGUAUCUCGUGUUCUCUGGGCUUUGUUGUCCUCAGUCUUUUCGCAGGAUCAGAAAACAAAACCAGGAGGCGCGUAAAUGUUUCUUCAAAUGUUUCUUCUGGAUGAUGAUAAGACUGUGACACGGGAUGCCACCUUUGGUCUUGUGAUGAAGCAAAGCUCAGGAAGAAGUGGGAUUAAAUGGUACCCACAUGUGUGCUGCUGAGAAGGAUGUACAGGGGCACCUGCAGCCAAAUCCAAGCCUCAGCAGUUUGUGCUCACAGAUGGUGACGGUGUGGAGAGACGGUGGUGUUUCCUCAGAAGAACCAGCAGAGUCACUUGCUGACUGAUGCUCAUCUGCACUGCACAGAGGAAAUCAACUGACCGAGGAGUGUUUCUGAGUGAGGGGGAGAAGAGUCAUCAUCCAGGUAAAGUGACGUAGAUCAGUGGAUACACUUGUCUCCCCUUUAAAGGAGACAAUCCAAGUCAUCCUUAAAUAUGGGCAGCAUAUCAGUCUUGGACUGUCUAACCUGCCGGAGCAGCACUGAAUGACCACCACACAUGAGCAUGUUCCUGCAACAUUCAGCAUCUGAUCCUUCAUCUGUGUGCUUCUGCUUUUGUGUCACAUGUCAAACAGCUGGAGAGGAAACUACACCAGUGUACUGGGAUGUUUCACCAACACGUGCCAGAUGCUGUUCCUUCAUGGUGACAUCACAGAGACAGCCCCACCCACCUCAGGACCUCGCCAUUUAUCAUGAUGAUUAUAAUGAUGACAGCGAGCGGAACUAAGACUGUAAAAAUCCACGACCAGAAUUUUUCUUUCUAAUUAUUAAUGAAUACUGAGAGCCUCUUUCUGUGUUUUGUAUGUUUUGGGGUUGUUUUUUUUUUACCUCAUUUGUUACUAACAAAGUUCACCAAACUCACACAGUUUACAUUCUGUAUGUUUCCAUCUUUACCAGCCACACUCUAAUUGCAUUUAAGAAAAUAAUCCUUAGAAAUCGUCAUUUUUCUCUUUUGUAAUUGAUGAUAAUUCAGUGAAUAUAAGAUAAGAUAAGAUAACUCUUUAUUGUCAUUGCACAGUCAUACAUAGUACAGUAGUACAAUGAAAUUGGAAAAACUGUCCUACGUCGGCACUACAUAUAACACAACACGAUAUGACACAUCACAACGUAACAAACAACACAACACAGUAACACACUGCUUCCUUCUAUUGCGUCACACAUUGCUUUAAGUUUUUCAGUGUCCAGUUAUUUUUUACUGCUGUUUAAAUUCUCUGAAUGUUUGACCCUGUAGACUGUUUGAUGGACUGCUUGUCUUCCUGUUUGUAACCGCCGCCUGUUUUUUUUUAAUAAAGAUUUGGAUUUCUG